GGACAGCAAGGCCACGUGGCAGCAUGCUUCAUUGCUUGAAUCAUGAUUAAAAGGUCCAGUCACUUUUAGUGGAGCAGGUCUCAGGAAUAAGGAACAAAAGAAACUAUGAUAUUGAAGAUGAGAUAAAGGUGAAGAGAUGAAAAAUUGAAGGGAAGAAAGAGAAAAGGGAAAGAAAUUGAUCCCUGAGUUGUGCCGUAAAGUUAUGUUAAUAGAAGAGCGCAAGAUAAGGUUGAGAAACUUGAGGAUGACCUUUUAGGACUUAAGGAUGACAUUAUUGAUUAAGAAUUUUUUAUGAUACCAAUACAAAGGAGCAAUAAAAGAAAUACGAAAAGAUAAAAGCAGUCAGUAAGAGAGUGACAGUAGUAGUGAGGAUGACAUGAAGGCAAAGAUAAUUGGAGAGGAGGAGGAAUUAAGAUGAAUAAUAUGCAAUGGAGAAAGAGAGGGAGAAGGAUUUGCUGAAGAGAGAUACCUUGACUGUCAGAAUAAAAAAAGAUAUAGAGAAGAUUAGAAAAUUAUCAGAAAAAUUAUUAUCAUUGUCACUUUCUCCUCUAUCUUUCUCUCUUCCCUCUUUUUCCAGGGUUAUGAAGAACCAAUGAAAUAACUACAGAUUGCUGAAAAGGGCCAAAGUAAAUUGGUCACAAUGAUCCCAGAGUUACAUUUAAAAUGUUAACUUGGAGACCAUGCUCAAGAUAAACUUGCAGAGCUGGAGGCUGAUGUAAUUGAUAACAAAUAUCUGUUCUCUGACUCUGAUAACAACUACCAAAUUGACUAAGAGGGAAAAUGCUGAGCACCUGCAGAAAAAGAAAUUAAAGGAGCUUACUGAUGAGCAUAGAAAUGCAAAGGGCAUGAGAAGAUUGAAUGGUAUAAUAUUUCUUCUGUGAUGAAAAAUGGGAGAACAAGUAAGGCAUAACCCAGUGACAAAAAUGCUAAAGAGAAAAACAAAGUCAAAAAAGAGUAUAAUCUUGUCAGCAUGGAUGAUGAGAUAGCAUUUGUCUUGGCUGAAACUGUUAGAUUACAAUAAAGAAGAGAAUGAAGUAGAAAUGUCUGAAGAUUGUAAAUUGAAGAAGAACUGUAAAUUGAAGAAGAAAGAUUGAAUUUGAAGAAGGAUAUGAGUUUCUCUCUUUCAUUAUAAUACCUAAUAGAGUAGGAGGAGUUUGCCUAUCUUUCCUUAUUAUGAGUCAUUGCUGGAAGCUGUCAAAAAUCAUGAGGUGACAGAGAUUGAUAAUCAGUGGCAACUGAAAUUAGCUCCCCACUAUUAAAAAACAAAGGACAUACACAAGAUGAGAAUAGGAAGAUGCCAAAGGGAGCAGGGAUCAUAGGAUGAAACUAGAUAUAAUAACCAGUUUUUAAUAAUGUACAAGCACCACAUUUCUGUAUGUUAUUUAUGAAAAUGAACAUUAUUGUAAUAUUGAGAUUAAUAAACACAGAAGAAAUUAGCAUUUUGUUAGACCUUAA
rnacentral:lncRNA from 1 species